GCUCCUGCAAGUGGUGGAAUGUCAGCCGGUGUUCUCCUACAUCGACGACCCGGCAAACACCUCCUACGCGCUCCUCCUCCAACUCCGGGAAGUUCUCGUGGAAAAGUCGCUGACCAGCGAAGAGGACAAGGAUGGGUACUUCGUAUUCAAGAAGAUAACCGAGUUCACGAAUGACCUGAAGGUGAGAGUGGCCAAGGACGUAGAGGUGGCCAGGGAGAAGUUCGAGAAGGGUGAGUACUUGGUCGGAAAGAGAAUCGGAAAGUGCAGGACUAAUGGAGUGUACCAACUGGUGAGGAAUGUUGCCCAGACGGAAAUAUUGACCGGAGAGAAGAAGGUGAGUCCCGGCGAGUGCAUCGAGAAAGUGUACGAUUGCAUACUGCAAGGUAAACUUGAGGAUGUGCUGGUUAAGUGUCUGAGCAUGUGGAAAGGAAUGGCCGGACCAUUUUCGCCCAGGCCGGAUCUCAUGUCGCCGGUAUACAAGAAUCCAGAUACCUGGGGUUGGUUCGACAACAUGAGGUCCCCAUCGUCGACCAGCGGAAGAGGUUUUUGGAGCAAGUGAUCAAUAAUUAAUUAAUUAUAUACUUGAAUAAUUAUAAG
rnacentral:lncRNA from 1 species